UUGACUAAAGACCCGAUAACCGUUAGUAU
rnacentral:sRNA from 1 species